rnacentral:lncRNA from 1 species
GUGCUUAUUCUUCUUUACUUCAAAAAAAAGCCAAACCCUAAUGUGACCUAAUCUCUCUCAACUGCCGCCGAGCUCAUUCAGAAUUCCAGAUCCACCGCUCCACCGGCGUCAUUCACCGUCAUCCACUGCUCCACCGGCAUCCACCGCUCCACCGGCGUCAUUCACCGGCAUCCACCGUCUUCGCCGGCCUCCCCUGUCCGCCUACAUCCACCGCCGGCCAUCCACCACGCACAUCCACUCCGACAGUUCAAAAUUAAGAAAUUCAAUGUGAGUGAUUCUCAAAAGAAGGUGGGAAAGAAGAAAGAUAAGAAGUCCAGUGUAUGUUGAUAUUAGUGGAGAAUCAAAUGCUUCAAACUCAAUGAACAAUUCUAAGGUUUGAAUUGUUGGAAUUAAAGAUCUGAGAAGAGAACCAUGGGAACUUUGAAUUUGUUUUUAAUGGAUGUUUUGAAUUAUUAAGUCUUUUGUGAUUUGCCGUUUAUGGAUUUUUGUUUUAAACUUGUUAAGUAUUUGGUGUUUAUGGAUUAUUUAAGCUGUUUGUGAACUUUUGGCGAGUUUUGUUUCACUAAACAGGUUCUAAAUAUGUGAUUAUUCUAGUGUUCGUUAACAGGUACUAACAGGUAAUUU